AUUGAACGCUGGCGGCAGGCCUAACACAUGCAAGUCGAACGAGUGGCGGACGGGUGAGUAAUGUCUGGUAAACUGCCUGAUGGAUGGGGAUAACUAAUGGAAACGGUAGCUAAUACCGCAUACCAUCGGAUGUGCCCAGAUGGGAUUAGCUAGGAGGUGGGGUAAAGGCUAACCUAGGCGACGAUCCCUACCUGGUCUGAGAGGAUGACCAGACACACUGGAACUGAGACACGGUCCAGACUCCUACGGGAGGCAGCAGUGGGGAAUAUUGCACAAUGGGCGCAAGCCUGAUGCAGCCAUGCCGCGUGUAUGAAGAAGGCCUUCGGGUUGUAAAGUACUUUCAGCGGGGAGGCGUUACCCGCAGAAGAAGCACCGGCUAACUCCGUGCCAGCCGCCGCGGUAAUAC
rnacentral:rRNA from 1 species